rnacentral:rRNA from 1 species
AGAGUUCGAUCCUGGCUCAGGAUAAACGCUGGCGGCGUGCUUAACACAUGCAAGUCGAACGAAGUUUUUCUUUCGGGAGGAACUUAGUGGCGGACGGGUGAGUAACGCGUGGGUAACCUGCCCUGUACAGGGGGACAACAGCUGGAAACGGCUGCUAAUACCGCAUAAGCCCUUAGCACUGCAUGGUGCAUAGGGAAAAGGAGCAAUCCGGUACAGGAUGGACCCGCGUCUGAUUAGCCAGUUGGCAGGGUAACGGCCUACCAAAGCGACGAUCAGUAGCCGAUCUGAGAGGAUGUACGGCCACAUUGGGACUGAGACACGGCCCAGACUCCUACGGGAGGCAGCAGUGGGGAAUAUUGCACAAUGGAGGAAACUCUGAUGCAGCGACGCCGCGUGAGUGAAGAAGUAUUUCGGUAUGUAAAGCUCUAUCAGCAGGGAAGAAAAUGACGGUACCUGACUAAGAAGCACCGGCUAAAUACGUGCCAGCAGCCGCGGUAAUACGUAUGGUGCAAGCGUUAUCCGGAUUUACUGGGUGUAAAGGGAGCGUAGGUGGCAAGGCAAGCCAGAAGUGAAAACCCGGGGCUCAACCGCGGGAUUGCUUUUGGAACUGUCAUGCUAGAGUGCAGGAGGGGUGAGCGGAAUUCCUAGUGUAGCGGUGAAAUGCGUAGAUAUUAGGAGGAACACCGGAGGCGAAGGCGGCUCACUGGACUGUAACUGACACUGAGGCUCGAAAGCGUGGGGAGCAAACAGGAUUAGAUACCCUGGUAGUCCACGCGGUAAACGAUGAAUACUAGAUGUCGGGUAGCAAAGCUACUCGGUGUCGUCGCAAACGCAAUAAGUAUUCCACCUGGGGAGUACGUUCGCAAGAAUGAAACUCAAAGGAAUUGACGGGGAC